GACGGUUUGGAGUAUGGCCUGAGGAAAUGUAUUUUUCGUGACGCGGUUCAGAAACGAUGAACUGCGCUCUCAAGUACGCUUAUGGUGUUGUUAUUGUUCUAUCAUGAGAUGAGAUUGCGCAAAUCGGAAGAUGUCAGGCGAUGAUGAUGAUGAUGAUGAUGAUGAUGAUGAUGAUGAUGAUGAUGAUGAUGAUGAUGAUGAUGAUGAUGUUUGACCACGACCGUGGUGCUGCUUAUGAAGUUGAUGAUGGUGACGACGAUGGUUGUUAUGACGAAUGCGAUGAUGACGAUGGUGGCGAACUGCUGUUGCUGCGGUUGUUCCCACUGCUGCUGGUUGCGGGAAAAGUUGCGAUAAAGUGUUAACACAGCUCAUAGGCAGCAGCAGCCAGGUAGGCAGGCGGGUAGGAAGACGGAUGGCCGAAAGCUCUGAUUUAUGACUUUGUCGUCCUUUAUUUACAUACUUUUAAUAAUUUACAUACUCUGUGACUUAAUUUCUGUCUCGGUCGCCGCUGGUUGCCACAGCUUCAUCCUCUUGCUUCAUCUAGCUUCUCGUCGGGAGCGAGCGGCGGCGUUUCUGUUUGGGGAGUGUGAGGUGUUGGGGCCGGGGUUGGUGGGGAGGCCAAGGCGGAAUGACCGCGUUAUCAAUUUGGGGGCAUAUGUUGUGUUGUGUUGGGUGGCGAGCAAUCGAUUCAAUUAUCAUCAUCGCAGAAGUGGGUUUUACGGACGUUCAUAAGAGGUCUUAGGCCCUGGGAGGAUGGCAGCUGCGCCGUACAGGGCAGGUUGAUACCCACACGCCGCAUGGGCGAUCUUCUCGGUUGGGUCCGGUCGGAUCGGGUUGACCGGGUCCAAAGUCUCCCCAAAACUGGGGGCCCGGAUCCAUCCGCGGGAAGGAAAGCGCUCCAGGGAAAACGAAAUGGCGAGAAGAAGCUGGUUGAACUUGGGGAAGAGAGUUCCUUGGAGCUGGGAGGGAUGGGAGUCUUCGAGCCCACUCCGCGCCUUUACUGGUGGUGGAAGCAAAGCAACAAAAGCAGAUGAGCGCGACAGCAAAAAACGAUGCGGAAAAACGGACGCGAAUAGAGGUGACAUAUGAGCCGUAUGAGCGUGCAGGCGAGCGCUCAAGGAAGAGUGAGCUUACAGAAGUAUUUAGUCAGAGUUCAAUAGUCCUUUGGCAGAGCUUCCAUGUGUUGGUUCAGAACCAGAGCUUGUCUUUUCUUUGGAAGGCUCUUUUAAAGGCCACAGAUCGGGAAAUGAGCAACAACCCUUCGCGAGGUUUGGCGUAUCGGACAUCGGCAUUUUUACACUUUUUUGUUUCUUGCCUUGCAGAAUGUGCGGAAAUGGCGCGAUGCGAAGUGAUUAAAGACCCAAGGGUCCUUCAAUGUCACGUUGUUUGCGCGCGUAUGCAUCCACCGACCUGCAUGAAGCAUGCCUAAACGAUAUCACAUAAAUGUAAAUGUUUCCAGAAAUGUUUUAAUCCAGAUUCCAACCGAGUCAACCGCAUACUGCACCGUGCUUGCGCCUCGGAAGUCAGCGCAUCAUAGACCAUGGACAUAGCAGCCAGCUCAGCUUCCGCAGCUGCGGGCGCCGCAUCAAUCCAAUCCCAUUAAUGAUCCCAAUCCAGC
rnacentral:lncRNA from 1 species